GAUGAACGCUGGCGGCGUGCCUAAUACAUGCAAGUCGAGCGAACAGACGAGGAGCUUGCUCCUCUGACGUUAGCGGCGGACGGGUGAGUAACACGUGGAUAACCUACCUAUAAGACUGGGAUAACUUCGGGAAACCGGAGCUAAUACCGGAUAAUAUAUUGAACCGCAUGGUUCAAUAGUGAAAGACGGUUUUGCUGUCACUUAUAGAUGGAUCCGCGCCGCAUUAGCUAGUUGGUAAGGUAACGGCUUACCAAGGCAACGAUGCGUAGCCGACCUGAGAGGGUGAUCGGCCACACUGGAACUGAGACACGGUCCAGACUCCUACGGGAGGCAGCAGUAGGGAAUCUUCCGCAAUGGGCGAAAGCUUGACGGAGCAACGCCGCGUGAGUGAUGAAGGUCUUCGGAUCGUAAAGCUCUGUUAUUAGGAAAGAACAAAUGUGUAAGUAACUAUGCACGUCUUGACGGUACCUAAUCAGAAAGCCCCGGCUAACUACGUG
rnacentral:rRNA from 1 species